rnacentral:sRNA from 1 species
CGUGCGUACCGCGAUUGCGAAAGAUUAAUUUUCUGUAUUAUCGGCUGAGCGAGAAUUUACAUUUGUAAUUACCGCUCCAGCCGAUCUUGAAAAAAUGAAUGAACCGGAUACGGUUGGGUGUCAAGGUGCUGCCAAUGUUCCUCUUAGUACAUGGUACGAAGAUCAUAUGCAACCAUGGGUAACGAUAGGGCUCGCUAAGUGCGAUCAAAGAGAAAGAGAAUAAACAAGAGAGAACAAAAAAAAAAGGAAAAGUGGGAAGAUUGCGUCCAAUGGCUGCCGUAUAAAAGGGGUAACGGACAGAAAAAUUCGCCAUUAAAGUUUUGGUAAACGGGCAAGGAAAAAUUUUUCUAAGCUAAAAUUUAAAAAAGUGAUCCCAUAAAAACACCAAGAUAGUGGAAUUAAAGUUUUCGUAAUUUUUUUAUUUUUAUUUGCCGAUUGUUGUGUAUGUGUGGGUGUGACCAAAAUUUCAUAACACCCCAACAAAAGACGGCUAGAUAUCUGACCCCUCCAAGUUUUCGGUGGAGGAGGUCAGCAAAUUUUUUAUAUAAAGAGAGCGCAGCUGCCCAGUCCGUGGUUGAGGCUAAGCCCUGGUACGCCAAAGUUCUGAGAAUCAAAGAGUGGUCGGCUCGGUAGGUCUGAUGCCGAAAAGGUCAAAAAGAUCAUCAA